rnacentral:misc_RNA from 1 species
AUUGGUUGUAUUUUGGCACUAAAACUUUGUUCAACUGAAACUUACCUACAUUCCUUCUAUGAAAGCUAAACUCACAAUGCCUAUUUUCCUUCUUACUUUUACUUAGCUUAAAACCCUUACUCUCAAGAGUUAUUCUUUGCAGCUCUAACUUUUGGUUUACUCUUUCGCUAGUUUCAUCUACUAGGACAACAAUAUUUGCAAAUAGCAUGCACCAUGGGACAUCACCUUGAACAUGACUGGUUAGCUCACACAUAACUAAGUUAAACAGGUACAGACUCAAAGUCAUCCUUUAUAUAAAUACACUGUUAUAGAGAAUUGGUCUGUAUCCCUUCCCAUUGUCCUUAUACUUGUGAUCGCCCCUCAUAAAUGUCCUUAAUGACAUUUGUAUAUUUAAGAUGGACUUUUUCUUUUGUAGCACUCACCAAAGAACUUCCCUCGGUAGUCUAUAAUAUAGCUUUUCUUGUUGAAUGAAUAGCAUGUGGAGAUCCUUAUUCCUCUCCUUGUAAGUUUCCAUUAAUCUUCUUAACAGAUAGAUAGAUUUUGUUGUAGAUCUACUAGGUGUA